rnacentral:sRNA from 12 species
GAAAUUGGUCGUAGGGCGCGACCAACGAAAUCAAAAGAAAGCCCACUGAGA